rnacentral:rRNA from 1 species
AUUGAACGCUGGCGGAAUGCUUUACACAUGCAAGUCGAGCGGCAGCGCGGGGGCGACCUUGGCGGCGAGCGGCGAACGGGUGAGUAAGACAUCGGAACGUACCCUGUUGUGGGGGAUAACGAAUCGAAAGAUUCGCUAAUACCGCAUACGACCUGAGGGUGAAAGGGGGGGACCGCAAGGCCUCUCGCGGCAGGAGCGGCCGAUGGCCGAUUAGCUAGUUGGUGGGGUAAAGGCUCACCAAGGCGACGAUCGGUAGCGGGUCUGAGAGGACGACCCGCCACACUGGGACUGAGACACGGCCCAGACUCCUACGGGAGGCAGCAGUGGGGAAUUUUGGACAAUGGGGGCAACCCUGAUCCAGCCAUUCCGCGUGAGUGAAGAAGGCCUUCGGGUUGUAAAGCUCUUUCGGCAGGAACGAAACGGUGGAGGUUAAUACCCUUUAUCAAUGACGGUACCUGAAGAAGAAGCACCGGCUAACUACGUGCCAGCCGCCGCCGUAA